rnacentral:rRNA from 1 species
CCUACGGGGGGCAGCAGUGGGGAAUAUUGGACAAUGGGCGAAAGCCUGAUCCAGCCAUGCCGCGUGUGUGAAGAAGGCCUUCGGGUUGUAAAGCACUUUCAGUGGGGAAGAAAGCCUUGGGGCUAAUACCCUCGAGGAAGGACAUCACCCACAGAAGAAGCACCGGCUAACUCCGUGCCAGCAGCCGCGGUAAUACGGAGGGGGCGAGCGUUAAUCGGAAUUACUGGGCGUAAAGCGCGCGUAGGCGGUCUGAUAAGCCGGUUGUGAAAGCCCCGGGCUCAACCUGGGAACGGCAUCCGGAACUGUCAGGCUAGAGUGCAGGAGAGGAAGGUAGAAUUCCCGGUGUAGCGGUGAAAUGCGUAGAGAUCGGGAGGAAUACCAGUGGCGAAGGCGGCCUUCUGGACUGACACUGACGCUGAGGUGCGAAAGCGUGGGUAGCAAACAGGAUUAGAUACCCGAGUAGUC